GACGAACGCUGGCGGCGUGCUUAACACAUGCAAGUCGAACGGAAAGGCCCUGCUUUUGUGGGGUGCUCGAGUGGCGAACGGGUGAGUAACACGUGAGUAACCUGCCCUUGACUUUGGGAUAACUUCAGGAAACUGGGGCUAAUACCGGAUAGGAGCUCCUGCUGCAUGGUGGGGGUUGGAAAGUUUCGGCGGUUGGGGACGGACUCGCGGCUUAUCAGCUUGUUGGUGGGGUAGUGGCUUACCAAGGCUUUGACGGGUAGCCGGCCUGAGAGGGUGACCGGCCACAUUGGGACUGAGAUACGGCCCAGACUCCUACGGGAGGCAGCAGUGGGGAAUAUUGCACAAUGGGCGGAAGCCUGAUGCAGCAACGCCGCGUGCGGGAUGACGGCCUUCGGGUUGUAAACCACUUUCGCCUGUGACGAAGCGUGAGUGACGGUAAUGGGUAAAGAAGCACCGGCUAACUACGUG
rnacentral:rRNA from 1 species